CCAGACUCCUACGGGAGGCAGCAGUGGGGAAUAUUGCACAAUGGGCGGAAGCCUGAUGCAGCAACGCCGCGUGCGGGAUGACGGCCUUCGGGUUGUAAACCGCUUUCACCUGUGACGAAGCGUGAGUGACGGUAAUGGGUAAAGAAGCACCGGCUAACUACGUGCCAGCAGCCGCGGUGAUACGUAGGGUGCGAGCGUUGUCCGGAUUUAUUGGGCGUAAAGGGCUCGUAGGUGGUUGAUCGCGUCGGAAGUGUAAUCUUGGGGCUUAACCCUGAGCGUGCUUUCGAUACGGGUUGACUUGAGGAAGGUAGGGGAGAAUGGAAUUCCUGGUGGAGCGGUGGAAUGCGCAGAUAUCAGGAGGAACACCAGUGGCGAAGGCGGUUCUCUGGGCCUUUCCUGACGCUGAGGAGCGAAAGCGUGGGGAGCGAACAGGCUUAGAUACCCUGGUAGUCCACGCUGUAAACGGUGGGUACUAGGUGUGGGGUCCAUUCCACGGGUUCCGUGCCGUAGCUAACGCUUUAAGUACCCCGCCUGGGGAGUAC
rnacentral:rRNA from 1 species